rnacentral:lncRNA from 1 species
CUCAACAGUUCUGUACCCAAGCACAGGGACAAGUCCAUUCCACAAACCUUGAAAAACAUACAUGGCUGGCUAUUUCAUAUUUUUCAUGUCCCAGGUUUCACGUUUCUGGAUGUCUACACUGUGAAAUUUGUCUGUGUUUGGGUUUUGGCCAUGCAAAGAUCCUUCGCCCUUGAUGUGUGGGUCUGUGCACCUCACUUCUUCCACAUGCUGACAUCAGUGGAAACUCCACACUGGGACAGGAGCAAUACAUCUGCUGCUGCUUUCUGGGGAGGAAGAGAGAAGAGUGAAUGCUCAGCAGUUGUUUUGUAAUGGGUAGCCUGAGAAAUUUCCAUCACAGCUCUGAUCUGCUCAGGUGGACCCGUGUUCUCCUUUCCCAGCCUGUGAAGGGAGACAAAAUGUCUGGCAGACAACAAAUAAA